rnacentral:rRNA from 1 species
UACGUAGGGGGCAAGCGUUGUCCGGAUUUAUUGGGCGUAAAGAGCGUGUAGGCGGCCAUACAGGUCAGCUGUGAAAACUCGAGGCUCAACCUCGAGACGUCGGUUGAAACCGUAUGGCUAGAGUCCGGAAGAGGAGAGUGGAAUUCCCGGUGUAGCGGUGAAAUGCGCAGAUAUCGGGAAGAACACCCGUGGCGAAGGCGGCGCUCUGGGCCGGAACUGACGCUGAGGAGCGAAAGCGUGGGUAGCAAACAGG